UUUUAUUUGAGAGUUUGAUCCUGGCUCAGGAUGAACGCUGGCGGCGUGCCUAACACAUGCAAGUUGAGCGAUUUACUUCGGUAAAGAGCGGCGGACGGGUGAGUAACGCGUGGGUAACCUACCCUGUACACACGGAUAACAUACCGAAAGGUAUGCUAAUACGGGAUAAUAUAUUUGAGAGGCAUCUCUUAAAUAUCAAAGGUGAGCCAGUACAGGAUGGACCCGCGUCUGAUUAGCUAGUUGGUAAGGUAACGGCUUACCAAGGCGACGAUCAGUAGCCGACCUGAGAGGGUGAUCGGCCACAUUGGAACUGAGACACGGUCCAAACUCCUACGGGAGGCAGCAGUGGGGAAUAUUGCACAAUGGGCGAAAGCCUGAUGCAGCAACGCCGCGUGAGUGA
rnacentral:rRNA from 1 species